rnacentral:tRNA from 1 species
GUGGGCGUAGCUCAAUGGUAGAGCGACCGAUUGUGAAUCGGUUGACGCGGGUUCAAUCCCCGUCGUCCACC